rnacentral:rRNA from 1 species
ACGGGAGGCAGCAGUGGGGAAUAUUGCACAAUGGGCGAAAGCCUGAUGCAGCGACGCCGCGUGAGCGAGGAAGUAUUUCGGUAUGUAAAGCUCUAUCAGCAGGGAAGAUAAUGACGGUACCUGACUAAGAAGCACCGGCUAAAUACGUGCCAGCAGCCGCGGUAAUACGUAUGGUGCAAGCGUUAUCCGGAUUUACUGGGUGUAAAGGGAGCGUAGGCGGUUUUACAAGUCUGAUGUGAAAGCCCGGGGCUCAACUCCGGUAUUGCAUUGGAAACUGUAGAACUAGAGUGUCGGAGGGGUAAGUGGAAUUCCUAGUGUAGCGGUGAAACGCGUAGAUAUUAGGAGGAACACCAGUGGCGAAGGCGGCUUACUGGACGAUUACUGACGCUGAGGCUCGAAAGCGUGGGGAGCAAACAGGAUUAGAUACCCUGGUA